CCAUUACUGACAGUUACCCCAGCUCAGUAGGGGCUCACAGUGUGGCACCCAACACUAAACACCACUAUUAAUAACUCCCAAACUCUGAGUGUGUCCUCGCCGAGCUCCGUGAACUCUUCUUAAAGAUGUCCUGCUAAUUACAAUCAGAGUUUGCCGCCCCCCCCCCCCCCCCAUCCCCCCUCUCUCUGUGUGUGAUCUGAGCACGACGUGUCCCAGAAGGUCUAGAGGACAUUGAGGAGAGGUGGAUAUGAGAGGAUCUCACCGAGGAGAGCUGAAUGAGAGCUGGGAGGGGGAGGCAGUGAGUCACACAGCCUGUUUCAUCACCAUCAUCAAGAACAGUGGGAGAGGAUUGUAGGGGUGUGUUUCAAAGGAAGAGGUGAGUGUGUAUCGAGGGAUUGAUGACUCGCCCCAGCUCACCAGCUGCCACCCUGCUGGAACUGACGAGUCGGGAGGACCAAUGUACCCAAGGGGCUGCACUAGCCAAUGAGAGUGCAGGGAUCCAAGAACGAAUGGUAUCAGUGGAACAGAAGAGGAUGCAGUAGAAAGUGGGCUGUGGGAUGACUAAACCAUGAUUUGCUGCUCCAAGACAUCUCACCAACGUUCAGCCAGUCAGAUCUCUCUGUGGGUGUGGUGCCAAUGAUGACGGUGUGUGUGUGUGUGUGUGUGUGUGUGUUUGUGAGAAAGGGUGUUGAGAGAAAGGGUGAGAGAGAAAAGGUGGAUAAAAGGUAUCAACGCAUUGGAGUGAAUUUUUGUCGAAACAGUAAAAAAGUUAUAUAUCACUGACAAUAAAAGAGAAUGAUGCUCCGACCAAGGCAACAGAGCCUGAAGAGCUCAAACUGUGCAUUAGUGUGCACUGGGGGAAACAAAACGUGUGUGUGUGUGUGUGUGUAUGAAAGAGAUUGACAGAGAGAGAGAGAGAGAGAGAGAGAGAGAGAGAGAGAGAGAGAGAGAGAGACAGAGAGAGAGAAUAUGUAUGUCUGUGUAUGGUACAAUUGUGUAUGCACAGGUGUGUGUGUUCUGCUUUCUCCUUGUCCUGUCUUGUCACGGGUCAUGCAGCGAUGCUUACCAGCAGAGAUGAGACACCUCAAUAAAUC